UACAGAGGGGGCAAGCGUUGUUCGGAAUUACUGGGCGUAAAGGGCGCGUAGGCGGCCUGUUAAGUCGAACGUGAAAUCCCCGGGCUCAACCCGGGAACUGCGUCCGAUACUGGCAGGCUUGAAUCCGGGAGAGGGAUGCGGAAUUCCAGGUGUAGCGGUGAAAUGCGUAGAGAUCGGGAGGAACACCUGUGGCGAAGGCGGCUCGCUGGGCCGGUCCUGACGCUGAGACGCGAAGGCGUGGGGAGCGAACGGG
rnacentral:rRNA from 1 species